AUAUUUACCUGUUGGGGAAACACCAGGAUCAUGCAGGUGCCUUUCUCAGGGUGAAGCAUGUCCAUUGCACUCGGGAUGCACUGACCUCUGUGAUUUCCUCACAUGGGGAAAGGCGGCUGCAUAAUUUCUGAUAGUGGGAGACUGCGUGUGCGCUCUCCCCUG